CAAAAAACAUAUCACCAGAACAAAACCCAUAGCCACUUCUCUCCAUGCUUCAGCUCAGCUCUGUUCUACACUGUUCACUCACUCACUCCAGUACCCGUCAUUUUCCUUCUCACAUUUCUCAACCUCAUCCUCAUCAUCCUCCUCGCCGAUCUCCAUCACUGCCUCUCGGAACCGCCUGACAUCAUCCAAUGCCGCCUUCCGGAACAUAGCAAUGUCUACUGCGCCAGCUACCAUAUGGUAACCCCUCAAUUUGAGCUGCUCCGGCGGGUCAUUCUGCAUUGCAAACCCGCCCAGGUAAGCAGCAUUGCCACCCGAGGCUGCUGCCGCCGCCUUCUUCUUCUUCUUGGCCUCCAGCACCUUCCUCUCGGCCUCCCUCAGCGUAGCCCGGACCUUCCUGUUCCCGGGGUCCCACAGGUAUCCCAUGCUAGCCGACAGGUCGAGCGGGCCCAUCUGCACGACGUCCACGCCGUCGACGGCGGCGAUGGCGUCGAUCUCCGCGAUCGCGGUGGCGGUCUCGACCUGGCAGAUGACGAGGGUAUCGUCCUCGCAGCGGGAGAGGUAGGAGUCGUCGAAGCCGUAGGCGGAGGCGCGGACGAUGGGGUGUGCGGCGCCGCGGACCCCGCGCGGCGGGUAGCGGCAGUGGGAGACCGCCUCCGCGGCGGCCUCGGGGGACUCGAUGGCGGGGAGCAUGAGGCCCGCGGGGCCGAGGUCCAGCGCCUUCUUGGCCCAGACGGCGCUGGCCUCCGGGAGGCGGAGCACGGCGGGGGUGCGCGCGGCGUCCAGCGCGCGAAGGCAGGCGAGCGCCUCGGGGAUCCCGCCCGGCCCGUGCUCCAUGUCGACGACGACGUAGUCGUAGCCGGCGAGGGCGGCGAGCUCGGCGAGGGUAGGGGAGAAGGAGAGGAGGAACAGACCGUACAGGGUGUCUCCGGCGGCGAGGCGGGACUUGAGGGAGGGCGCGGGAGAGAGGAGGUCGGAUGCCGCGGCGGAGACCGCGACGGAGGAGCGCCGCCCACGGCAGGGAAGCCGGUCCGUGAUGCGCUGGGAGGGAAGAUGCGAGGGGUUUGGCUGAGUUUUGGGUCUGCGCUUGGGGGCGAGGAGGAGGUGGGAGAGGAAGGAAGCGGUGGCGGCCAUGGCGAGCGAAGCCGGCCGGCCGGUCGGCGGAGGGGGAGGUGGUGGUUGUUCGAUUUUGGGAUCUGCCGUCUGCGACUGCCAAGCCGAACGGCGAGUCCGGCGGCCGGAGAAGUGGGGCCGCGUGGGGCGUGACUGUUUUGUCACGUGCUGCGGUGCCGCCGUGCGCUUGCUGGCGUGGCAUAGCGUCUUUCCGCCUCGUUUGGUGUGGACCAG
rnacentral:misc_RNA from 1 species